rnacentral:lncRNA from 1 species
AGAUCAUUCUCGAUAGGGGAGGUGAAGCUUGAAUAUUUUUGAAGAAUAACUCUGUGCUUAUCAGGUUGAAAGGAUAUGAAAGAAUAUUCCUGGCUGAGGGAGGAAUGUAAACUAUGGAAGAAGGAAUCCGGUCUGUACCAGACACCCUAAAGGAAUGGCAUGUUUAUGCCUGCAGAGGUGGGAGAGUCCACAGAUAAAGACGUCAGAGGCCAAGGAAGGAAGGCCCAUGCUGCCAGGCUGAGGAGUUCAAAGGAUUCCCAAGGAGGUCAGUCAACUUUCUACAGAUGA